rnacentral:rRNA from 1 species
GACGAACGCUGGCGGCGUGCUUAACACAUGCAAGUCGAACGGAAAGGCCCUGCUUUUGUGGGGUGCUCGAGUGGCGAACGGUGAGUAACACGUGAGUAACCUGCCCUUGACUUUGGGAUAACUUCAGGAAACUGGGGCUAAUACCGGAUAGGAGCUCCUGCUGCAUGGUGGGGGUUGGAAAGUUUCGGCGGUUGGGAUGGACUCGCGGCUUAUCAGCUUGUUGGUGGGGUAGUGGCUUACCAAGGCUUUGACGGGUAGCCGGCCUGAGAGGGUGACCGGCCACAUUGGGACUGAGAUACGGCCCAGACUCCUACGGGAGGCAGCAGUGGGGAAUAUUGCACAAUGGGCGGAAGCCUGAUGCAGCAACGCCGCGUGCGGGAUGACGGCCU